rnacentral:rRNA from 1 species
UAAGCGUGCGCAGGCGGUUUGUAAGACUGUCGUGAAAUCCCCGGGCCUCAACCUGGGAAUGGCGAUGGUGACUGCAAGGCUAGAGUUUGGCAGAGGGGGGUAGAAUUCCACGUGUAGCAGUGAAAUGCGUAGAUAUGUGGAGGAACACCGAUGGCGAAGGCAGCCCCCUGGGUCAAAACUGACGCUCAUGCACGAAAGCGUGGGGAGCAAACAGGAUUAGAUACCCGAGU